UCCGGAUGAUGACGAGGAUGUGCCGCUGAGGCCUAGGAGGAGUAGAGAAGGCAUCAACUGGCAAGACGUCCCAAUCGGUGCCGGUGGUAGAACUAGUGAUCCAAUAGCCUGAAGAUGUGACUCGGGCUUCUGUUACUUCCGCUGCUCCAGUAUCAAGUGAACGCCCUACAUCGUCGACUGCACCAGUGUUUGCUUCAACUAUCCAGCCUCAUGUCUCGGAACUUCAAGCUGUUGCGACCGCACCGUCAACCCCAUUCUUUACCACUCAUCAUGUUCCAGAAAGGCAGGCCGACGCUGCCACAGAAGCCAUUCACCAAGCUGGCAUAAUGAUGGAGCGAGUGAAGGUGGUGCACGAAAAUAGUCAGGCUGUUUACGACGCCAGUGUGGUGCUUCGAGCCAAUGUCUAGAAAUCUUGUGCGCUUAUCUCCAAGUUUGCUGAAUUCGAGGAAAAGCAGAUACAACUCAACCUUGACUUGGAGCUGGCCAAUCAGAACUUGAAAAAGGCUAAAGACGAAGUAGCUGGUACGGAAGAGAAAAUGAGGUAGGCUCUGGCGAAGAAGGACCUCGAUCUUGCAGCUGCGCAAAAGGAGGCUCAGGAGAAGACUGCACUUGUUGACAAGAAGCUGGCUUCGGUCGGUGCGCUAGAGGAGGAAAUCACCAAGCUGAAGGCGUCUCUUGCUGAGUCCAACCGAGAAGCGACUCGUCUGAAGAAAGAUAAGGUGACUCUAGACGAGAAGCUGGAAGGCAUUUCUCAUAAGAGAAAUGACCUGGAAGCUUAUCUGAAAGCACUCGCCAAGAAGCUCUUCUUUAUGCUCGAAGAAUUCUGCCAAAACUUUGAAGAAGAAACUGGACGGAUCGAGACAGGCUUGGACCCCAUCCUUUCUCCUGUCGAUAAUGAGGCUACCAUGAACGUGCUCCGACUGGAAUCCCGUGUUGCCAGCGUUACGAGCUAUCUUGCUUGCCUGAAGGUGGCGGUGUCGCGCAUCGAUAUGACACUUUGGCCAAGGGAAACGCUUCAAAAUGACCUCGAGUCCUUGAUGAAUCGACUCAAUGAGGUCCCUGGUCGAGUGCAAGAAUGGAAGAAGUCUUCUGCCCGAUGCGGUGCUGAGGUGGCUCUGUCGCUGGUUCGGGUCCACUGCAAAGAAGCUUGAGAAGAGAAUCUGGCAGCGAUCAAAGUUUCCAACACCAAAAGGCAUGACUUCCAAUCCUUCAUGGAAACCUUCAUUGCUGCUGCCACUCGGAUCGCUGACGGAAUUGAUCUGGACGAGUUCGUCGAGCCUGCAAGCCCUCCUCCUGCGGAGUGAACAAACUUUAUAUCUCGUCUUAAAUUUGCCUCGGAAUGCCGAGUGAU